GCUGGGCAUGGUGGGGCAUACUUGUAAUCCCAGUGACUUAGGAGGCUGAGGCAGGAGGAUCUCCUUCAAGGUCAUGGCCUCAGGAACUCAGUGAGAUCCUGUCUUGU
rnacentral:sRNA from 1 species